rnacentral:lncRNA from 1 species
GAUUUUCGACCACCGUUAAUAAAAUCCCCAAAAUCUCAGAGAGCCUACAAAAAUGGUAUGGAGCAAACUUGGUCUGAAUUGUAAGAGGUAGUAACUGCUGGCUGAGUUCUAAAAAAUGAUAUAAUAUCAAGGAAUGCAAGGCAUGAAAUAAAGUCUUAUUUUCUGCAGAGCUUUUUCUUUAAUAUUGAGAAGUUUAAGAACAUACAAUAGGAUGUAAAAUGUGUUAGAGGCAAGAAACUUAAAAACUGUCAUUUCAUUUUUUUUUCUAUAUCUAUCAAGGUGCUGGCUGUAAUUCUGCUGCUUCAUUAUGACACAGGGGAGUCAAUUGUGCAUGUCUUCAACCCAAAAACCUAGGCAACAAAGAAUCCUCACAUAGAUCCUGCUAUUAUAAUGUCAAUGCCAGAGGAAACAAUAAGAGGUGGGGCCUAUCACUGAGGCAUUAAAUGUUUUCACCUACAUGGAUAAUAAAUUCUGAUACUUGUCCACUGAAUUUACAAGGUGAUUUGAUGUUUCUCAGAAACAAGAAGUCACAGGAAAAGAAAGAACAAGGGAGUCAAGAAACAGCAGCAGCAAAAGCUGACAUUGAUCAUUUGAUUGCACUGUGGUCUGAGAGACUGUUUUUAUGAAUUUUGUUCCUUUAUAUCUGCUGAGAAGUGUUUUACUUCCAAUUAUAUGGUCAAUUUUAGAAUAAGUACUAUGUGGUGCUGAGAAAAUUGUAUAUUCUGUUGAUUUGGGGUGGAGAGUUCUGUAGAUGUCUAUCAGGUCCACUUGGUCCAGAGUUAAGUUCAAGUCCUGAGUAUCCUUGUUAAUUUCCGAGUAUGCUACCUGUAUCAUUUCUGUUGUUUUACACGUAUCGAUUUUUUUCUAUGUCAAUAUAUAAUUAAAUCUUGUGAAUGGUCUAGUGAACUAUCCAAAUUCAAGAACAUGUUAAGACUUCUAAUAUAUAUUACUGAAUUGCUUGCAGGAAAGUUGCAGCAAUUCAUUCUCCAACAAGCCGUGUACAAGAUAUGGAUCUUAUGCCAGGCAUGGCAGUAUAUUUAUAGAACUACAGGAUGGAAAGGAAUGGCUAAAAUCCCCUAUAACAUUCAGCUAUAACAUCCAGAAGUUAAGCCCAACUAAUUUCCAGGUUCUAAUACAUGGGCAAUUUACUUUCAGGUAGAUAUAAACAUCUUGUGGCGCCCUCAGUCAUUCUCUCAGGUAAAACCAUAACCAUCAAUGGUAUUUGAUUUUCUUAAAUCUUAACCAAAAGAAUCUCAGUAUUUUUGUUCAAAUAUGCUUAAAGAAAGAAAACAUCUUUCUAAAACUUUGUUUUGAGAAAACAAAGCAUUUUUAAACUCAAAUGGAAAAACAAACCAGAAGGAAGUCAAAGAGCAGAAAAUUCAGAGGCAGAAAGAAAAAAUAAUCAAAGCCAAAGAGUGGUGAGAGAGGACAUCCUUGUCUUGUGAAAAAUAAAAGCGGUAAUCAGAGUGGCACAUUAGAGUUUGCCAUUUAAUAAUGAAAUAGUUUCUUGUAGCAACACAUUUCAUAAUAUAGCCGGGGUAACAGUGGCUCAAUUAGAGGAAAAUAAAGAUCUUUAAGGUAGACAUGAAGAAACGUUGUCAUCUACAUAGACAGUAAUGACAGGUAGAAAAAUGGCAUAAUAUGAGUUUAAAAGGAAGACUGCAGGCUAUAUACUAAAAGUUUUAAUGAAAUCUGUAAAUCAUCAAUAUACUACAGUGUGGAAUAGUAGAGGACAAAAUAACUAUGAGAUGGAUUGACAGUAUGACAUGGAUUUUAAGAGGAUCAAUUUUAUACAAAACAAGAGUAACAGAAAGUUAAGAGAAUAUGUCUUCCAAAUCCCUUGGUACUGGAAAGUAGCUUCCACUUAUCUUUCUAAUGAUCUUUCAAGCAGAUACUUAUCAAAUGUUUAUUAAACAAAGAAUGACUACCUUCUCAAUUCUUGAUCAUAUAUAAUUCCCACACAGAAGCCUUCUGAAAGAAUCUGAUGAUAAGUUCCUAAAUUAUUUUCCUAUUUUCCAAAAUAAAAAAUAAAAAAAAAGAGCAAGCUGACAUUUUAGAAAGGCUGGAGACUUCAGAAACUGAACCUGGCCUUCAACCAUGGUGAUGUGUCCCUACUUUAAUGCAAUUUUCUCUUAAGCAUCUUUCCCUUUGUAGGACCCACUUAAUUAGAAGUCCUUUCCUUCAGUAGAGAUUACCGUACUCCCCAUUUAGCCUCACAGAGGACAUUUUCUUCAAAGCUGCUUCCUACUGAGGACAUAGAUUGCCAGGUGUUUAUUUCUAAAGUCAAUUUCUUCUUCCCUAAAAGACCAACCAGCAAAUAUCUGCAGAUAAUUUGGUCUAGUUCCUAUAGACUCUCCCACUAAAUAAACUUGGGGAGCCAUGCCAUUUCUUUGCCAAGACAAAUUAAGCUUACCUGUCUCCAUCUAUACUAAUACCAACUUCAAUUUCCAGUUGCUAUGCUGCAUCAGGUUACUUAACAUAACAUUUUAACCCUAAUUUUGUAGUUUAUUUUUCAGCGACUACCAUUUUUUUUAAAAUGUGUCUAAAGAAGAUACUUGAUGCAAAGAUACUUAUCUGCUUGCUUACCCUAGUUCAGUAAAUCCUACAUAAUCUGACUCCACCCUAUCUCUCCCAUUCCUACUUGUACCACUUAGCUCUUAGGCCAUCUCACAUCCAGCCACUCUGGCCCUCUUUAUUUUCCUGACAAAGCAAAUUUGUUUCUCUUUCUUCUGCCUGGAGUGCUGUACUACCUGACCAUCCCAGGUUUGGCUCCUUUUUAUCCUGUGGAUCUCAGCUUAAAUAUUCCUGUUCAAAGAAAAUUUUCAUGACCACCUAAAAUAGCAAGUCAGCUGUUCUUUAUGGCAUCAACAAUGUUAGUUUUCUGCACUUCAUUUAUAACUACUGUGCUAGGCAGAAUCCUGGUCCUCCAAAGAUGUUCAUAUCUUCAUUCCCAGACCUGUGAAUAUGUUACCUUAUAUGCCAAAAGAGACUUUUUAUGUGACUGGGUUAAGGAUCUGGAAAUGGAGAAAUAAUCUUGGAUUUUCCAGAUUGACUCAAUAUAAUCAUUAGGAUUCUUAUAAGAGAAAAGUGGGAGACUCAGUGGCAUGGAGAAAACAUAUGAUGAUGAGGGCAUAAGUUGGAAGAAAGAGACCACAAGCCAAAGAAUACAGGAAGUGUCUAGAAGGUAGAAAAGGCAAGGAAAUGGAUUCUCUCCUAGAUGCAGAGGAAGCACAGCCCAGCUAUAACACUUUGAUUUCAGCCCAGUGAAACCAAUUUCGGACUUCUGGUCUCCAGAACUGUAAAGUAAUAAAUUUGUGUUAUGUUAUUGGUUUGUGUAAAUUAUAGCAGCAGUAGAAUACUAAUACUCUACCUGACAUUUUUCUUGUUUUAUUUAUUUGUUAUUUAUCAUCUGUCUCCCCUUACUAGAAUAUAAACGCCAUAAGGACAAGAGCCUUGUUUUUUUAUACUCACUGUUUAUAUUCUUAGAGCAAUAUAUAAUAGGCACUUGGUAAGUUGAAUUGAGUGAAUAAUUGUUUAUCAUGUGUAAAUUUUGCAUUUUGUCUGUCAAAGAAUU